AGUCAUAUGCUCGCCCCAAAGAUUAAGCCACGCAUGUCUCAGCAUAAGCUUCUGCAUGGCGAAACUGCGAAUGGCUCAUUAAAACAGUUAUCGUGUAUUUGCUGGUCAUUCAUUACAUGGAUAACCGUGGCAAUUCUGAAGCUAAUGCAUUCGCCCAAGCCCGACUUCGUGGAAGGGUUGUGUUUAUUAGGCACAAAACCAACCCAGGCUCUGCCUGGUCUUCUGGUCAUUCAUGAUAACCGAACGAAUCGCAUAGCAACCGCUGGCGAUGAAUCAUUUGAGUUUCUGACCUAUCAGCUUCCGACGGUAGGGUAUUGGCCUACCUUGGCAAUGACGGGUAACGGAGAAUUAGGGCUCGACUCCGGGGAGGGGGCCUGAGAAACGGCUACCACAUCUACGGAUGGCAGCAGGCGCGCAAAUUACCCAAUCCUGACGCAGGGAGGUAGUGACAAGAAAUAACAAUACAGGGCAUCCAUGUCUUUUAAUUAGAAUGAGUAGGAUGAGUAGAACUUAAAUCCCUUUAUGGGCGUCGAU
rnacentral:rRNA from 1 species